UUUAAGGUGGGCACUCUAGAUUGACUGCCGGUGACAAACCGGAGGAAGGCGGGGAUGACGUCAAAUCAUCAUGCCCCUUAUGACCUGGGCUACACACGUACUACAAUGGCCGGUACAACGGGCAGCGAAGGAGCGAUCUGGAGCCAAUCCUUUAAAGCCGGUCUCAGUUCGGAUUGCAGGCUGCAACUCGCCUGCAUGAAGUCGGAAUUGCUAGUAAUCGCGGAUCAGCAUGCCGCGGUGAAUACGUUCCCGGGUCUUGUACACACCGCCCGUCACACCACGAGAGUUUACAACACCCGAAGCC
rnacentral:rRNA from 1 species